CUCCCGUGACACAUGAGAAUUAUGGGAGCUAUAAUUCAAGAUGAGAUUUGGGUAGGGACACAGUCAAACAGUAUCAGUUAGGCAAGAGGAAAUGGCUUUCAUUUUAUUCAGUAGAAUCUUUGUGCUUGAUGCCUCCACCUGUCAUAUAGACAGAAAGAUUGUCUUGAUGGAGGAAAGUGGAAGGAUCAUACAAAGAGUCCUGAGAUUCUAUGAAGGGAGAAAUUCCCGGCCUUCCUCCAGAUGCCUCAGCUUCUCAUCUUUCUCACACCAGGUGCAAUGUGACCACAGCUACAGCAGAGGCUCUGAGGCAGAAGUGCCCAGUCAAGACCUUCCCACUCGAUGAGCAGAAAAUGUGAGAGUUAAAAGAGCUGCUCUUCAUGAUGAUUCUACAAGUUAAAAGAGCUAUUCACCAGAUAACAUUUUGGUGAAAAUGCUUUAUCACCUGGCACAGAUGGAUCAUGGCUGAGAAUCCACCGAAGAGUUCAUUCACCAGAGUCACCAGUAGAAGUCCAAUAAAGCUUUCAAGAUAUCUGAGAUCAAGAGAUCAAGUCGAUGUAUUAUUUGUAAAACAGUAAGGAUUGUUCUGUGGUGGCAUGAAGUCUUCUGGGACAUCUGGUCAUGAAGAAAUUAUGAAAAAGAAAGAAACAGAGAAAGAGAAAAGAAAAAAGAAAGAAAGAGAAAAUGUGAGGACUGACCAAGAACUAGAAACCAUGGUGAAAGUGGGUGAGGAAUGAAGGCUCUGACAGAUGAUCAUUAAGAUGAUUGAAGCUUAUAGACAAAGAGUUGAAGGAUGUAAAGGAAGAGGUCCUCAGUUGUUCUUCACAGGAAUCCUAGAAGCCCUGAGAUGGAGAGCUAACAUCGGAGCUGGUGGAGUUGUUGUACAAUUAGUCAGG